rnacentral:lncRNA from 1 species
CUUCAGGGCAAAAAUUACUUUUUAGUUUUCAAUGUUUUUUAAGGUGUCCCACGACAUUAUUUUCUCUAAAUCUAGCUUUGAUUUUUGUAUUAAUUUUAAAAUUUCAUUACAGAUUUCCUGUGAUUCCAAAAGGGAGACAUUAUGCUUCCAAAAUGAUUUUUUGUGCCUUGUUGGACUUUUAAAAGAUGGUUUGGAUGAUGAUCUGAAAUGGUAAAACCCUAAAUAAUGCCAGCAGUCCUGUUACAUUCUAGGGCCAUUUUUGGUGAGGCACUGUCAACCACUAGACCAGUAUCGUUCAUAUGAAGAUCGUAGACUACUUUUUCAAGAUUUUUAGCAUCUGUAAUAUUAUGGGAUCUCUUAUAUCCAAACGCGUUUCUGCAUGAUUUUCUUGUGAUGUUUAGGUCUCCAUCUAAGAUAAAUAUUUUACAAUUUGUAUGGGGAUACUUUUCUACUACUUUGGAAAAUGAACAUGUUGAAUCGUAAUUAGGUACAUAUAUUGCGUAGAAUGUCAUUCUUUUUUCAGAAAUGUGAGAUCGUUUUAGAUAUGAUGACGUCACUGAUUUAUAUAUGUGUAAUUAUAACGUUAUUGAGUAAAGCAUGUUCCGUACUCCUGUUUGAAGAGUGAUUGUAGGACGGGGACGGAUAUUCAAAAUAUUACACUAUGGUAGAUCUUUAUUAAUAUAUAAUUGUACAAUGUUAUUUUCUCUGACUGAAAUCUAUAUAUUUUUUGUUAAAUUAA